rnacentral:rRNA from 1 species
CCUACGGGUGGCAGCAGUGGGGAAUAUUGCACAAUGGGGGAAACCCUGAUGCAGCGACGCCGCGUGAGGGAAGAAGUCUUUCGGUAUGUAAAGCUCUAUCCGCAGGGACGAAAAUGGCGGUACCUGAGGAAGAAUCCCCGGCUAACUACGAUCCGGCAGCUGCGGCAAUACGUCGGGGGCAAGCGUUAUCCGGAUUUACUGGGUGUAAAGGGAGCGUAGUCGGCGGUGCAAGACUGUAGUGAAAGGCGGGGGCUCAACCCCCGGACUGCUGUGGAAACUGUUCGGAUGGAGUACAGGAGAGGUAGGUGGAAUUCCUAGUGUAGCGGUGAAAUGCGUAGAUAUUAGGAGGAACACCAGGGGCGAAGGCGGCUUACUGGACUGCAACUGACGUUGAGGCGCGAAAGCGUGGGGAGCAAACAGGAUUAGAUACCCGAGUAGUC